AGUGUAGGUGGUUAUAUAAGUCACAUGUGAAAUACCAAGGCUUAACUUUGGAAGAGCAUGUGAUACUGUGUAACUAGAGUGCAGGAGAGGUGAGUGGAAUUCCUAGUGUAGCGGUAGAAUGCGUAGAGAUUAGGAAGAACACCGGAGGCGAAGGCGACUCACUGGACUGUAACUGACACUGAGACUCGAAAGCGUGGGGAGCAAACA
rnacentral:rRNA from 1 species